rnacentral:rRNA from 1 species
GACGAACGCUGGCGGCGUGCUUAACACAUGCAAGUCGAACGGAAAGGCCCUGCUUUUGUGGGGUGCUCGAGUGGCGAACGGGUGAGUAACACGUGAGUAACCUGCCCUUGACUUUGGGAUAAUUUCAGGAAACUGGGGCUAAUACCGGAUAGGAGCUCCUGCUGCAUGGUGGGGGUUGGAAAGUUUCGGCGGUUGGGGAUGGACUCGCGGCUUAUCAGCUUGUUGGUGGGGUAGUGGCUUACCAAGGCUUUGACGGGUAGCCGGCCUGAGAGGGUGACCGGCCACAUUGGGACUGAGAUACGGCCCAGACUCCUACGGGAGGCAGCAGUGGGGAAUAUUGCACAAUGGGCGGAAGCCUGAUGCAGCAACGCCGCGUGCGGGAUGACGGCCUUCGGGUUGUAAACCGCUUUCGCCUGUGACGAAGCGCGAGUGACGGUAAUGGGUAAAGAAGCACCGGCUAACUACGUG